CAGAAAACAGAAUUUCACUUCGGAUAGCUGCAUGUGUACAUAUGUGGUGGAGGAACUCAACAAUUUCCAGUAAAAGCAAACGUUUUUGCAGUCAAAGGUUGUGCUUCUCGAUGAUCAGAUAUUUAUGGCAUGGUUGUUUAUGCUCUGCUCAUGGUCGUGCCUGCGAAGCUGUGAUGACUUGACGACAGGAGAAGUGGUCAGGAUUGAGCCAUCGGACAAGAGAUGACCGCCGUCGAUUACCAACAAAUUUCUGUAUGCCGCAGUGAGCGGGAUGCGUUCAAUUUCUUCAGAUGCUCUGCGCUGCACCCGCUAUAUUUGAUAUGAGUCCACAUGCAAAAUAAAGGCAUCACAUGUUCUGGGUUGUUCAGCUUUUAUUUAUUUAUUUUUCGUGAUUGGAUUAUAUGCUACUCGGUGUUGAAGGGUUUGUUCAUGCCAAAGUUAAUAAAUCUUGUGAUGUUACCAGA